GACGUAGGGGGCGAGCGUUGUCCGGAAUCAUUGGGCGUAAAGGGCUCCUAGGCGGUUCAGUAAGUCGACUGUGAAAAUCCAAGGCUCAACCUUGGGACGCCAGUCGAUACUGCUGUGACUCGAGUCCGGUAGAGGAGUGUGGAAUUCCUGGUGUAGCGGUGAAAUGCGCAGAUAUCAGGAGGAACACCAACGGCGAAGGCAGCACUCUGGGCCGGUACUGACGCUGAAGAGCGAAAGCGUGGGUAGCAAACAGG
rnacentral:rRNA from 1 species